CCUACGGGUGGCAGCAGUGGGGAAUAUUGCACAAUGGGGGAAAGCCUGAUGCAGCGACGCCGCGUGAGUGAAGAAGGCAUUCGGUAUGUAAAACUCUAUCAGCAGGGAAGAAAAUGACGGUACCUGAGUAAGAAGCCCCGGCUAACUACGUGCCAGCAGCCGCGGUAAUACGUAGGGGGCAAGCGUUAUCCGGAUUUACUGGGUGUAAAGGGAGCGUAGACGGCAGUGCAAGUCUGGAGUGAAAGGCGGGGGCUCAACCCCAGGACUGCUCUUGAAACUGUACGGCUGGAGUACAGGAGAGGUAAGUGGAAUUCCUAGUGUAGCGGUGAAAUGCGUAGAUAUUAGGAGGAACACCAGUGGCGAAGGCGGCUUACUGGACUGUAACUGACGUUGAGGCUCGAAAGCGUGGGGAGCAAACAGGAUUAGAUACCCGGGUAGUC
rnacentral:rRNA from 1 species